rnacentral:tRNA from 1 species
CAUUAAGUGACUGAAAGAAAGUGUCGGUCUCUUAAACCGUUUUAUAGUAAAUAUCGCCUACUCUUAAUGA